UGGGGAAUAUUGGACAAUGGGGGCAACCCUGAUCCAGCCAUGCCGCGUGAGUGAUGAAGGCCCUAGGGUUGUAAAGCUCUUUCAGCGAGGAGGAUAAUGACGUUACUCGCAUGAAGAAGCCCCGGCUAACUUCGU
rnacentral:rRNA from 1 species